GGCACUCGGUACGUUACUCCACCAAGCACCAACUUGGAACUAAGGGAUUCUGAACAUAUGAUGUCAUACUUUUGGCCAUGGGCCAUAUUGCAAUAUGACAACGAAUGCUGACUAAAUAUCAAUACAAAACUUGGCCGACAAGGCCGUCAUAUUUGUUACAGCUGACAAACUAACCAAAUAUACAUAAAAGGCCUGAAAGCCCAACAUACUGCACUAACUGACAAGAUAUAUCUACAAGACUCUAGUAAUGGAUAUACUGUGAACGGAAUGACUCUCCGACCUACUCAUGAC
rnacentral:lncRNA from 1 species